GGGGGUGACCGGUUUCGACUUCGGCUGGUCGAGACAGGGGAAGCGGGCCGAGGGUUGCGGUCGUGACCUCGUAAAUCCCGUGACCGCGAACCAAUAACUGCCAACCAGAAGCAGUCCGAGUUCGCCCUCGCCGCCUGAGCGAGGAGCGACUCUGUCGGCCCGGGAGCGUCUCCGACCCGGGAUCCGGCAUCAUGAGGAGACUCCACCUGCGCGCCCGGUCGCGGGGUGCGUAGGGACAGCGCACAGCGACUGAGCCCGUCGGCGACUUGCCUGCGAGAGCGCCGGGGCCGAGAAACCGCCUAGCAGGCUGCGCCCGGAGAAGCCCUGGCUCAUCACCGAAGGACGCGGGUUCGAUUCCCGCCACCUCCAC
rnacentral:tmRNA from 1 species